GUGAGGAAUAUUGGUCAAUGGACGAGAGUCUGAACCAGCCAAGUCGCGUGAAGGAAGACGGUUCUAUGAAUUGUAAACUUCUUUUGUGCAGGAAUAAAGUGGGUUACGUGUAACCUUUUGUAUGUACUGUACGAAUAAGGAUCGGCUAACUCCGUUCCAGCAGCCGCGGUAAUACGUAGGAUCCGAGCGUUAUCCGGAUUUAUUGGGUUUAAAGGGUGCGUAGGUGGAUUGAUAAGUCAGCGGUGAAAGUUUGCAGCUUAACUGUAAAAUUGCCGUUGGAACUGUCGGUCUGGAGUGCAAAUGAGGUAGGCGGAAUGUGUUGUGUAGCGGUGAAAUGCUUAGAUAUAACACAGAACUCCGAUUGCGAAGGCAGCUUACUGGGAUGCAACUGACACUGAUGCACGAAAGCGUGGGUAUCAAACAGGAUUAGAAACCCCUGUAGUCC
rnacentral:rRNA from 1 species